rnacentral:rRNA from 1 species
CCUACGGGAGGCAGCAGUGGGGAAUAUUGCACAAUGGGCGAAAGCCUGAUGCAGCGACGCCGCGUGAGGGAUGACGGCCUUCGGGUUGUAAACCUCUUUCAGCAGGGAAGAAGCGCAAGUGACGGUACCUGCAGAAGAAGCACCGGCUAACUACGUGCCAGCAGCCGCGGUAAUACGUAGGGUGCGAGCGUUGUCCGGAAUUAUUGGGCGUAAAGAGCUCGUAGGCGGCUUGUCACGUCGGAUGUGAAAGCUCGGGGCUUAACCCCGAGUCUGCAUUCGAUACGGGCUAGCUAGAGUGUGGUAGGGGAGAUCGGAAUUCCUGGUGUAGCGGUGAAAUGCGCAGAUAUCAGGAGGAACACCGGUGGCGAAGGCGGAUCUCUGGGCCAUUACUGACGCUGAGGAGCGAAAGCGUGGGGAGCGAACAGGAUUAGAUACCCUGGUAGUCCACGCCGUAAACGUUGGGAACUAGGUGUUGGCGACAUUCCACGUCGUCGGUGCCGCAGCUACGCAUUACGUUCCCGUCCGUCGGGAGGUACGGCCGGCCGACGGACGUAAACCGUACGUAAAGGUUAAAGUUAGUACGGGUUCGUUGAGACGUUCGCCGACGGACGACGACGAGGGGAGGUUAGG